CAGCAGAGAAGAAGCUGCUGGUGUGUCUGCAGCUGCAGGAGCCGGAGCUCCAUGUCCAGAGAGGUGACACUGCACAUAUAUAACAAGGUAUCUAUGGCACUCAGCUGACACUCUGGAAAAGAUACGGAAACGUUCCCGGAGAGUCGCAACCGGCCCAGGGCUAGCAGUUUGUAAAAAAAAAAAAAAGUACAACAAUGCAAUAUAAUAAGAAUUACGCCAUUAUGGGUUAAGGUUAAUAUUAUUGUAUCUCGGCGUAGGUUAAAAAAAAAAAAGUUCCAUCGACCUUAAUUGAUCACUAGUUAAACGCACCACCCGACAAGCACGCUAAGUGACACAAAUCAAACACACCCAGGUGCAUGCUGGGGUCUGGCUGAAAUGAUAAAUGCUAAAAUGCUCGUGGUGGAUCCUCCAGCGGUGACUUCUGCGGUCACUUAAGAACUUUUACCUUCAGUGAGGUGUGUUAAGCCUUUCGGCUGUUUUUGACAAUAUUCCCUGUCACAGUUACGACAAAAUGUGGACUGGUUAUAUUUGAUUGCAGACUGUGGAGGACUUCGCGGUGCACAAGUCUCACAGAAUGACGUUCAGACAGGGACUAAAGGAACAAGAAGGAGCAGCCACAGUGAGCUGUUAGAUGAAGAGCUUCAAGUGACAGGCUUCACGCCUUUCAGCUCCUCAGCAAGAAAACUAAGAGGAGGAAGAGGCAAAUGAGGAUUUGACUUUUCAGCCAAAGGCUUUACAGGUUAUCAUCAGAGAGCGAGGGAGAAAGAAAGAAGGACACCAAACGAUGGAAGAUUUUCUAAUCCUUCAACCCCAUCAACACAACUGUCACAUUUUGGAGCUUUUGUUAAGGGAAGUGAAGAUGGAAGACAGAGAGAAGCAGAAAAAAAGUGAAAAGAGAUUGGUAAUAGAAAUAUACCUCUUGACAGUGCUUGACACCGCAUAUUAUUAAACACUGCUGUGAUUCACUCUGUAAUUAAGAAAGGAAAUGGUCCGUACAGUAGCAUAGCACUUUGAAAUGUCAUUUCUAAGCCUUCAACUUGAUGAACAGUAUCUUAAAGGGAAUUGUUUCCUGAAGAUUUAAGUCUGGAUACAGCAUUAAAUGGGUUUAUCUAAAUGUCAAUAAAUGCUUUAGUGAUUGUCAAUUAUGUUGCCUGUAUUGAUCCCAAAUCUUACCUCUUCUUCAGGGUCCUUCACCAUUUGUCCUCAGCAGCCCUGUAGCCUCUGUAGCCACCGCCCACAGCUUAGUCAGAAUCUCUGCAGCUUCUUUCUUUUUUUCUGUGUUCAGGGAGACUUGAUUUCCUUCCUUAAUGCUUUAUAACCCCGCUACUGUCUCCAGGCAACUCGAAGGCUGUUGAGCUCGUUAAGUCCCUAUCCCCUGAAGAGGCUGAGUUCCUUUAAGAUUUUAUGCACCUCCAGAACCUCUGCGUGUUUCUGUUGAAGAUCAGAUCAUAUUCACACACUGAGCACUUUGAGAAUAAUUAGAGCAGUAAUAGAGUUAGGCAGUCCGAGCCCUGAUUAAAUUGCUGUUAAUGUGGCUAUUUGAAGCAGUCGGUUUUGUCACUACUGUGAUGUCAAAGAGACAAGAAGCAAGAGAGGUAUGACUGUUGAAAACACUAACCUUAUCUCCCACAUUUUAUAUUUAGAUUCUACUUUUUCCAACAGACUACAUUUUGAAGAGACAUGUAAAGCCACCUGGAAUACAUUUUGUCUCCUACAUACAGCAUUAUGUAGAACAUUCAUAUUGAACAUAUCUGCAGAGUGUUCACUGCUAGGGUUUUUCGAUAUUUUAUAUAUCCACUCAUGACAAUUAAAGUGUGGUUCAGAUAUGGCUGGAAGAUAAGACAGGUAACUCUGUUAAAGCUAAGGAAAGAUUUUGGUCAUGGUAACUUACGUAUAGUAUGGAAGGAAACUAAAAUAAUUUGGUUAAGGUUAUAAAAGGUCACGAUGAUGGAUAAUAAUAAUAAUAAUAAUAAUAAUAAUAAUAAUGUAAAUGUCCAUGUUGUCUUUGUUUUGUUAUGUGAUCAUCACUUCAUGUUUCAUAUUUGCACAGAAAAUUAAACAAUCAAUCUGAAUAGUUGCACUUGGAAACAGGCCCAUUACACGGUAGGUCAUUUCCAGGCAUGGUUAAAAUGGAACCUAUCUGUUGUGUCAGACAAAUAUCAGAUAAACAACUACAAAAUGAGGCUAAAAUGAGUUGAGUGUAGCAAUCAUGUAAGAAGCCAUCAAAAUCCAACAUUGCACUUGGAGCAUAGACACGUAAUUAUAUACAAGUUUAAACAUUUGCUAGCUUUUGGCAGUGUUUCUGGGCUUUUGUUAGUUUGAAAUGGACUUCAUAUACAGUAGUUUUCAUCCAUCAAGGACUAGGAAGCAGGGAGAAGAGAAUAGUUAGGCCACCCUUUAGUUGUAAACCCAGUUUCAAGCUCUACUGACAGCAAACAUCCACCAGUGGAAGUGUCCUUGAGCAGGACCCCGAUUCUCUACCAGAGAGACAGUUGAUGACACUGCUUUCUGACCUCCCACUUGACAGAGGCAAGCCAUAAUUGAAUUCUUAGGGGAUCAAUGUAGUGUAAAAAAAAAAAAAAAAAAAAAAGUCUAGCAUCAUGACUGCAUGACUGUGGGAAAUUGAUAACAGCAGCUUGUGAAGUAACAGUGGAAAAAGGCUUCCUCUUACAGAUGCUGAUAAAUCUCAAGACUAAACACUGAAUAUUUUGUUACUCAAAAGCAGAAUAAACCAACAUAGCAUAAGCAUUUCAAAAGAGAGAGGAAAAAAAUGCAAACUGUCAUGUCAGAAACUAAGUUGAUUUCACCUAACCACACACAUUCAUACAUGCACUCAUGAAUACAAGAUAGGCUAGUGCAGAUACUGUGCACUUCUUCGUGUUAUUUUUACAUUUGAGGGACAUUUUGGUUUGGUAUUUGCAGCUUUAGAGUGUCCAUCUGAGACCCCGUAUAUCAUGAUGUUUGAAGAAAAAAAAAUUUAUAGAGUCACUAAUCUUUAAAAGUGCCCAGAGUAGUUUUACCAAAACUAAAAUAAAAGUUUUGGUAAAAGAAAGUCCACUGCCCAGAUAAGCAAGAAUACACCCAAGUCAGUGUCUUGUGGACACUAGCUGAAGAACACAAACCUUAUUUGACAAUAAUUUUUAAAUACUGGUGUAACAUAGGUAUUGCUUUCACAGUAAUACGUUGGCAUUCUAAGCCAGCAUUAAUGAAGAACUGCAGCAUAUAAAAUUAUGACAGACAAAAAGAAAAAGAUUUGCUUGAAAUGAGUGCUGGAUAUUUGGUUAUGUUAUCCUCUUUCCUAGCUUGUAAUUUCUCAUUUCUAUUCAAGAACUGAGGAGAGUUUGACCGGUCUCGUGGGCCAUUAGGAGUUACCAAAAUAAUGGCGUUCGGUGCCAUGCUGGUGUUCAGAAAUAUGUCACACAGUACGAAAAGGAUGUUUCACAAAAGAUAUUCAUGUGCAUCCUUUGAUAGCACAAAUUACAAAUUUAAUAAGCCAGGAACCAUAGAUUCUUGGGAUUGUUGUUUCCUUAAAGAUUCUGGGUUUAUUUUCAAAAGAAAAUGUUCAAUGGCAGCUUUGUGUAAAUAAUGAAAGAGACUGCUAUUUUGAUGUGGAGC